UACGUAGGGUGCAAGCGUUGUCCGGAAUUUAUUGGGCGUAAAGAGCUCGUAGGCGGUCUGUCGCGUCUGCUGUGAAAACUCGGGGCUUAACCCCGGGCCUGGCAGUGGGUACGGGCAGACUAGAGUGCGGUAGGGGAGACUGGAAUUCCUGGUGUAGCGGUGAAAUGCGCAGAUAUCAGGAGGAACACCGGUGGCGAAGGCGGGUCUCUGGGCCGUAACUGGACGCUGGAGGAGCGAAAGCAUGGGGAGCGAACAGG
rnacentral:rRNA from 1 species